rnacentral:rRNA from 1 species
ACGGAAGGCAGCAGUGGGGAAUAUUGCACAAUGGGGGAAACCCUGAUGCAGCGACGCCGCGUGAGUGAUGAAGUAUUUCGGUAUGUAAAGCUCUAUCAGCAGGGAAGAUAAUGACGGUACCUGACUAAGAAGCACCGGCUAAAUACGUGCCAGCAGCCGCGGUAAUACGUAUGGUGCAAGCGUUAUCCGGAUUUACUGGGUGUAAAGGGUGCGUAGGCGGAGCUGCAAGCCAGAUGUGAAAUCCCGGGGCUCAACCCCGGAACUGCAUUUGAAACUGUAGCCCUUGAGUAUCGGAGAGGCAAGCGGAAUUCCUAGUGUAGCGGUGAAAUGCGUAGAUAUUAGGAGGAACACCAGUGGCGAAGGCGGCUUGCUGGACGACAACUGACGCUGAGGCGCGAAAGCGUGGGGAGCAAACAGGAUUAGAUACCCUGGUA